CUUCCGGUUUCUCUCGAAACCAUUUCAAAUAUUCCUGAAACUAUUU
rfam:Triticum aestivum genome assembly, contig: Triticum_aestivum_CS42_TGACv1_scaffold_604089_7DL